AGCGAACGUUAGCGGCGGGCCUAACACAUGCAAGUCGAACGAGAAUGAGGGCUUCGGCCCUCUAGUAAAGUGGCGGACGGGUGCGUAACACGUGGGUAAUCUACCUUCCGGCGGGGGACAACAGUCCGAAAGGAUUGCUAAUACCGCAUACGUCAGCGGCGCCUACGGGCGCUGUUGGGAAAGAUGGCCUCUCCUUGGAAGCUGUCACCGGAAGAUGAGCCCGCGGCCCAUCAGCUAGUUGGUGAGGUAAUGGCUCACCAAGGCUAAGAC
rnacentral:rRNA from 1 species